rnacentral:rRNA from 1 species
AGAGUUUGAUCAUGGCUCAGAUUGAACGCUGGCGGCAGGCCUAACACAUGCAAGUCGAGCGGUAACAGGGGUAGCUUGCUACCCGCUGACGAGCGGCGGACGGGUGAGUAAUGCAUGGGUAUCUGCCCGGUAGUGGGGGAUAACUCGGGGAAACCCGAGCUAAUACCGCAUACGUCCUACGGGAGAAAGCAGGGGAUCUUCGGACCUUGCGCUAUCGGAUGAGCCCAUGUCGGAUUAGCUUGUUGGUGAGGUAAUGGCUCACCAAGGCCGCGAUCCGUAGCUGGUCUGAGAGGAUGAUCAGCCACACCGGGACUGAGACACGGCCCGGACUCCUACGGGAGGCAGCAGUGGGGAAUAUUGGACAAUGGGGGAAACCCUGAUCCAGCCAUGCCGCGUGUGUGAAGAAGGCCUUCGGGUUGUAAAGCACUUUCAGUGGGGAAGAAGGCAUGGUGGUUAAUAACCACCAUGAAGGACAUCACCCACAGAAGAAGCACCGGCUAACUCCGUGCCAGCAGCCGCGGUAAUACGGAGGGUGCAAGCGUUAAUCGGAAUUACUGGGCGUAAAGGGCGCGUAGGCGGCUUGCCAAGCCGGAUGUGAAAGCCCCGGGCUCAACCCGGGAACGGCAUUCGGAACUGGCAGGCUAGAGUGCAGGAGAGGAAGGUGGAAUUCCCGGUGUAGCGGUGAAAUGCGUAGAGAUCGGGAGGAAUACCAGUGGCGAAGGCGGCCUUCUGGACUGACACUGACGCUGAGGCGCGAAAGCGUGGGUAGCAAACAGGAUUAGAUACCCUGGUAGUCCACGCCGUAAACGAUGUCGACCAGCCGUUGGACCCCUUGAGGGUUUGGUGGCGCAGUUAACGCAAUAAGUCGACCGCCUGGGGAGUACGGCCGCAAGGCUAAAACUCAAAUGAAUUGACGGGGGCCCGCACAAGCGGUGGAGCAUGUGGUUUAAUUCGAUGCAACGCGAAGAACCUUACCUGCUCUUGACAUCCUGCGAAUCUCCCAGAGAUGGGAGAGUGCCUUCGGGAGCGCAGAGACAGGUGCUGCAUGGCUGUCGUCAGCUCGUGUUGUGAAAUGUUGGGUUAAGUCCCGUAACGAGCGCAACCCCUAUCCCUUUUUGCCAGCGGUCCGGCCGGGAACUUCAGGGAGACUGCCGGUGACAAACCGGAGGAAGGUGGGGACGACGUCAAGUCAUCAUGGCCCUUACGAGCAGGGCUACACACGUGCUACAAUGGCCGGUACAAAGGGUUGCGAAGCGGCGACGUGAAGCCAAUCCCAUAAAGCCGGCCUCAGUCCGGAUCGGAGUCUGCAACUCGACUCCGUGAAGUCGGAAUCGCUAGUAAUCGUGGAUCAGAAUGCCACGGUGAAUACGUUCCCGGGCCUUGUACACACCGCCCGUCACACCAUGGGAGUGGACUGCACCAGAAGUGGUUAGCUUAACCUUCGGGAGAGCGAUCACCACGGUGUGGUUCAUGACUG